rnacentral:rRNA from 1 species
UACGAAGGGUGCAAGCGUUACUCGGAAUUACUGGGCGUAAAGCGUGCGUAGGUGGGUUGUUAAGUCUGAUGUGAAAGCCCUGGGCUCAACCUGGGAACGGCAUUGGAAACUGGCUUACUAGAGUGCGGUAGAGGGGUGUGGAAUUCCCGGUGUAGCAGUGAAAUGCGUAGAUAUCGGGAGGAACAUCUGUGGCGAAGGCGACACCCUGGACCAGCACUGACACUGAGGCACGAAAGCGUGGGGAGCAAACAGG